rnacentral:lncRNA from 1 species
GGAAAUCUGCCCAGAAACCUAUCUGGAUGCCAUGUUGUUCUUGUCUCUAAAGUUCUUCCACCGUGUGCUGCAGAGCAAGCGCUCAAUGGGGCGCAGUUGCUAGAUCACUGGUGCCUGUGUUGGCCAUCCGAUUUGAGUUUUUUCCUUGACUGGAUUUCAAAAGCCCUCUUUUGUGCGGGAAUAUUUUUCCAGAUUGUAUCUUCAAUGCCAAGGGAUGUGUGCCCCUUUCAAUUUGAUGCGCCUGGACAUGCAAUGCCCAAAUUGUCGAGGAGGGCCGCCAGCACAAGGAGUUCCCCUUUAUGUAUCUGCUGUCAAGUGAUUAGGAGUAUGAUGUCUUAAUGGCAGACCAUCACGAGCUGGUAACAAAGAGAAGAAACAUCUCUUUUUACUUUUGUAGUUCAUACAAACUUUGGUUUGUUUGUCUCAUAGCAAUCUGUGGUGUCCAUACCCAAGAUUUCUCAACUUGGAGUAAGUAGGAUUGAUUAUAACUUGUCUCUUUUGAAGUUACCUUUAGAAGGACGAUGUCAUUUCUUUAGUGACUAAGACACUUUUUUUGUUUUUCUCUUACAGGUUCAAAUCCCAACGUUGUGGUAAACAUAUGGAGAGAACCAUCCUACGGGCUGUCAUGGCCGUCACUACCACAGCCUACGAGUGAGCGGGCCAUGGCAGUCAGGGCUUGGUCCCAGGGCUGUAAUCUGCAAGCGGCUCACAGCCAUGAGCCAUGGCUGAGAAAGCGCUAUGAACACAAAGCUAAUCUUGCUGUUCGUGUUAGUUGGGGCUGGUCAGCACUCCAGUAGCUCAAGGCUAGUCAAUUGGUAGUUUUUAUUAAUUGUUAUAAAUUAAUAAUAGUUCUUGAGACAAAGAAUUUUACCCUAGACCUAAACAAUCUCAACAAAAGGUUAAAUUUUAAAGGACUUUUUAUUAUGCUAUUUUGGACCCAUAAAGUGUUCCUUUGCUCAAAAAGAAUGUGGAGCUACAUUGGACGUAACUCUUCAGCCUAGUUAUAGUUAAAUAGGGGAAACUAUUUCUGUUUCUCUUUCGCUAGCUGGAGGUAGCAAAUCAACCUAUCGUCGAUCCAUGGCCCCUGUAACAACGGUCAACUCGCACCUGGCAUGGGUUUGCGAUGGCCAUGGCCAGAUAACUGGUAGUAAAACCAGGGCUAUAUGGAUGGAUGGCUUUUACAUGAUUUUGCCUUUCUUACUUGCAUAGGAAGAAUCUGUUUUGUAACUACUAUUCAUUUAUCAUCAAUUGAUAAAUUAUAUUUACAAAAAAAAACUUUAUUUAACAUGAACAAGUUGUGAGUGCAUGGAAUAUGGAAAGGGAAUACAUGUGCAUAUCAAUUAGCCAAAAACCCUAACUUGUAAGGAGUAAGUGGUCCGGAUUGAAAUCAAUCCAACAGCUACUAAAAUCUCAUUAUGCUAAUAUUAGUAUACUGUAUUAUAGCUGUACACUUGGACUUCACAUCAUCCCCUCUUCUCGGAAUAAUGAAAGACCAUCAAAGUUCUCUUGUAGAUGGGUUGAGAUCUGAACAAGUGUUAGGAGAAGACAUCGGCAGAUUUAUAGGUGGUAUCAGUUGUUCUUGAUCCUUUUGUAUGAAGUGUUUCAACCGCUGCACAUACACAAUUUCUAGAGGAUCGGCCUAUUGGACGUCAUGCCAAACCUUAUAAGCUUGCGGUCCAACUUGCCGUAAUACUCGAUAUGGUCUUUUCCACUAAGCAAGGAACCCCUUAGAUAAACCAUAUACCAUAAAAUGGGGAAAAUAGACCAACACCAAAUCAUUCACUUUGUACUUUGCAGGUGGACGAUGAUGGGAGUUGUACCACCAUUGUUGUCCCACUUGUAUGCAACUUAAGUGUUCGGCAAAUUUUGUUUGAACAAAUGGAAGAAUGUUUAUCAAAUAACCCCACAACCUAGCAUUGGCAACUUGUGGCAAUUACAAAGGUAAACCCAACUUUGUUAGUAAUAUUGGAUCAUGACCAUAUAAAAGUUUAUAUGGUGAAACAUUAACAGAAUUUUACACCCCUGUGACAUAUGCAUAUUGAAGAGACGGCAAAUAACCAUCCCAAUCCAAAUGUUGAAAGUUCAUAUACUUCACGAUCAUUCAUUUGAAUGUCCAAACGAGCCAUUCCACCAAACUGUUUGACUAAGGAUGAUAAGCACUCGUGAAAGUAUAGCGUAUCUCCAACCGAGACAUCAAAACAUGAAAUGUUACAGCCAUAAAUGCGGGACCAUUAUCCAAAAGAAUCCACUCUGGACAAGAAUAUUGGAACACCACUCGAUUGAGAAGGAAGUAUUCAAUAGCAGUUGCAAAGGCACUAGUAAAAGCACCAACUUCCACCCAACGAGUUAAAUGGUCAAAAACAAUAAUAAUAUAUUCAUUACCAGCAGUCGAUCGUGGAAAAAGUCCCAUAAAAUCAAAUGCCACCAACUUAAAUGGACGGGAAACUGCAAUUGACUCUAACUGUUACAAAAGGGAGUAUUAUGAAUUUGGCACCAAAUGUAGUUACGCACAUCUCAAAUAACAUCACGUCGCAUCUCCGGCCAAUAGAAGACUUGUGCAGCUUCUCAGUCACACAACGAUGUCCCAUAUGCCCGCCUAGAACAAAAGAAUCAUGUUAGACAUGGAGAAACUGUGGAAUAAAGACAAAAGGCACCACCAACUGUAAAGGAUCAUCAGGAUCCGUCCCCACAAAAUAAAGAAGGCCAUCUUCAAGGCAAUACUGAGAAUAUAAAUGCUGGAAUGGCAAGUCAUCAGCAAGUGAUACAGAAUUCUCAAACCCAUCUCAAAGCCUUAGAAUCCAUGGCUCAAUUUUUUGAGCCUCACAAACCUCAUCAACAAAAGGUAGAUCUUGCUAUGCACGUUGUGGACACUGAACAUCAAGUACAGUAACUGCCGAUGGCACAGAAUCCUCAUCUAAAAAAUCCAUAGAUGCUGGAACAACAAGCUCGUCAAAAACAUGAGAAAAGAGUGGAGAAGGAAGAGGAGCUCGAGAAAGGGCAUCAGCAUCAGCCAUAGGACUCCUUGGGCGAUGAACAACAUCAAAAUCAUAUAUCUGAAGCUUCAAAAUCCACUAAGCAGUACAACCAACUAGAUUCUUUUACUUCAAUAAUGAAGUAACAGUAGCAUGAUCACCUUCAAGUAACAUUUGAGAACUAUGUAGAUAUGCAUGAAGUUUCUCGAAACCCCAGACUUCUGCUAAACACUCCUUCUUUGUCGUGGAGUAGUUUACCUCCGCUGAUUGUAAUGUAUGGCUUAUAUACGCAAUGGGAUGGUGCUAACAAGGCACACUUGGGCUCUCUUGCAUCAACACAUUUCCAAGAUCAAUAUUAAAAGCAUCCAUGCACAAAAUAAAAGGUCAAGUGUAGUCAAGAUAUGCUAAAAUCGAAGGAUUCGUUAAUAGUUCUUUGAGAUCCACUAAUGCCCACUCUCAAUACGGAGAUUAAAUGAAAGAUGACGUUGAUGAUUUCAGCAAUGCUUGCAAUGGUGCUAUGCGAUUAGAAAGAUAAUCCACAAAAUGACCAAGAUACUGCACAUUGCUCAAGAAGCAUUGUACAUCAUUCACACACUUCGGAGUAAGGAACUUUAAAAUAGCCACAAGUUUAUCAAGAUCAACUUGUAAACCCUUAAGAGAAAUAUAGUACCCAAGAUAAGUUGUAUCCUUGGACCCAAACACACACUUUGACCACUUCAGCUUUAAAAUAAUAUCCCGUAGCCAAUUCAACACUUUACAAAUAUUAAUGUCAUCCCAUGUUGAUGACGAAUAUACUCCUCCCACAUCCCUUCGAGUGGAUCAAGACAUCAUCAAUGAAGUCAGUAGUCACCUCCGGCAUAUUACAAAGAACUUCAUCCAUCAUCCGUUGGAAAGUUGUUGGAGAAUUGUUCAAACCAAAUGGUAUUACCAAGAACUCGUACAAACCAAAUGGUGUAUGAAAAGUAGUAUUAAAAAUAUUUUUUUUGGCCAUCGAUAUUUCUCAGUACCCAGAAGCAAAAUCUAGCUUGGUAAACUAACGACUUUGCCCUAGAUGAUCCAAGAGAUCAGCAGUAUGAGGAAAAGGGUACGCAUCUGGGAUUGUCACUUCGUUUAACGGAUGGUAGUUAAUGCAGAAAUAAAUACUUCUAUCAGACUUCAUCAUAAAAUGAGGUUCACAUGCCCAAAGAUUCCAUGACUUCCAAAUAACACCCUUCUCUAACAUCUUCUUGAUGUUUGCACGUAAAAUCUUGAUUUCUUUAGGUGACUGAUAACGAAUAGAAACCUUGAUUAGAUGAGCAUCCCCAAUUGGAAUCGAAUGACGUGUGGCAAUCUUGGCCCUAGACAAAAGUCAAAUUCAAAGAGAUUAGAAUACUCCUUCAUGAGUCAGUCAACCGUUGCAACACAAAGAUUGUCGGAGGGAUUGGAAAAGGGAAGAGCAGAACAAGAUGGAAACAUAAAAGGAAGUAGUGGGGGGACAAAAGUAAUGGAAGUAAAUGUAAAAGUAAAGGGACGAAAAGGUACAGAAGUAAGAGGAAUGAAUGAAAUAUAAGGAAGUAUGAGAUAAAGGGGAGAAGUCUUAAAGUUAUAUUUGGCAUAAUUGCAUUGCAACCAAUCCAUACCAAGGAUGAGGUCAAAAGCUUGACUCAGCACCACCCAUAAUGAUUGCAACCCAAACUCAAGAUCACCCAUACGCACAACUAGGUCCGCCUCAUCCCGUGGACAUACAUGUGUACAGCUGUUGCCAUAAAAAAUGAAAACUAGCCCCACCACACGAUGCAAGUGUAGAUGGCAACAUGUGACAACAAGUCGAGCAAUAGAAGAUAAACUCAAACCUGUAUCAACUAACAUGGAGAGAAUAAUAGGAGACGGCUUGUUAUAAAAACGAGUUUGGAAAGUAAACACUGGAUGAAUUAGUGCUGAGUGAACCCCUUGAUGAUACUUCGGAAAAAACAAUGGAGAGGUCAUUGAUUUAUUCACAUAAAAUCCCUCCGUUACUCGCAUGACUCCUCGUUUCCCGAAUGCAUUUUGGUGUUUAGACUUUCCACUACAGCAGCACCAACAAGACAUUGUUGACACCAAGGUCUUCACCCAGGAAAUGGUGGCUAUCAAUCUGGAAAAUGCCAACAAUGCCGAUAAAUGUGACCAACUUCAUCACACGCAUAGUAAUGAAUAUCACGACCAUAACCACAGCCUUGCUCUUGUUCUUGGACUCAAAUAGUAGCAGCAUCAACCUCUAUUGAAACAAGACCAUCACUUACAGGAAGUGAAGCUAAAGGACGUGCAACAAAAAGUGGAAGAGGCAAUGUCUCAUAAUGUUGUGCCAAGCAAAGAGCAUUGUCAAGGGUGGUGAAAACAAAAGCAUGCACAAGUCCGACAAAAUUUUGAUGAGUGCUAGCCAUAACAUUCCUAGCUUGAUCCGCUCUGACAUAUUGUAGCACAUGUGAUCAUGGGAUGAGAUUUGAAUAUACUGUCACCGUGGAUCCUUGAAACCUUGGGGGAUAAAUAGGGGAUAAAAUAGCCACUAAGGGCUCUCUCAUCAAGUAAUUGCCCCUUUUCCAAUUUUCUUAAGGGGAGAGAGAUAAGGUACACUACAGUUGGUAUCAGAGCAAAUGCCACGGGUUCGAUUCCCAUUGAUUAGUGGCUACUUAAAAGUAUAAUAUACCCUUGAGGAAGGUAUAUUCCUACCCUUAAAUUUGAAAUCGUAAAUCGUAGGUAUUGGGCAUCCAUGCGUAUGUCCUUCCUCUUGUGUGGAGUAUCCACGGACGAAGGUAUCCACCGUGGGACUGCGGUACGGGUGGAUGACUAGUUGCUUCACAUCGAAUAACUAAUCUACACAAUGGAAGGAUUGGUAGAUUGAGUGUGGGAAUGGAGUUGUUGGUUCCUUUUAGCUCAGUAGGGGUUGUUAGUUAAUAGUCAAUGAGAACAUUGACAUCUCUGAAAGGGGGGUGAGUGUAGCACAUGUGAUCAUGGGAUGACUAGCUUAGUAGGGGUUGUUAGUCAAUAGUCAAUGAGGACAUUGACAUCUCUGAAAGGGGGGUGAGUGUAGCACAUGUGAUCAUGGGAUGAGAUUUAGAUAUAUUGUCACCAUGGAUCCUUGGAACCUUGGGGAAUAAAUAGGGGAUAAAAUAGCCACUAAAGGCUCUCUCAUCAAGCAAUUGCCCCCUUUCCAAUUGGUUUAAGGGGAGAGAGAUAAGGUGUGCUACACAUAUUUAACUCCGCAAAAAGCAAAAAGGCUUCAAAAAUGAAUGCACCAACUUAGAUGGUCCUUGACGAAGAUGAUGCAAUUGUUGGAAGGCAUUAUCACAAUCUUCAGUAUGUUUAAAUGCACAUUUGAAGACGUCUGGGAGAACACUCCAAUCCCCAUGAAUGGUUGUGCUCAAACCAUUGUAUUACUACAACACCAUCCCUUGGAGACAUGUGGGAAACUUACGCAAAUGUUAAGCAUCAUCCCAAGAAUGAUAUGUGGCAAUCAUCGUGAAGUGAUCUAACCAAUGAUACACAUCAUCCUCAGGAUUCCCGCAAAAGAACUCCGGCUGAACGUAAGGAUUAGCACCAAGAGCAAAAAGAGUUGUACUACGUGCCAUGAAUGCCACUAUCAACUAAGUUUAGUUGUUCAAUUGCAAUCGCAUAACAUCAAGAAAUUGUACCAAUUGCUAUUCUAGAGUCAAAGGAGGAAAAGACUACUGAUCUGUCAUGAAAAUGAACAAAAAGGAAAGAGCAAAAGAAAAUAAAUGAAAAAAAGCUAAAAGAAAAGGGAGAUCUAGACAAUGCAAAAAGCUAAAUCUAAACCAAAAUCCUGAAAGGAAAGAACAAAAGAAAGGAAAUUGAAAAAAACUAGAUCUAGAUAAUAUAAAGUUAGAUCUAAACCAAAACCCCAAAUUCAAGAACUCCUUAAAAGCAAUCAAAAGUGUCCCUCAUCUCCACUAAUGUGAAUGCAUGGAAUAUAAAAAGAGAAUGGUCUUAGCAAGUCUAUGUAUUUGCCUGGAUUUUCUCAUACUAUUCAGGCACUGAGGGUCCUACACCUUGGCUGUGCUGAUGUCUGUGAUCGUUUUGCUGAAAUCUGGGUCUCUUUAGGAGUUUGCCUUUCUCUAUGUAUGGUUUGUGAACAGGCGCUGCAACAGAGACAUCCCCAGAAUCGAGGGCAGCUGGGCACUUAUUGCUUUGUUUUCAAGGCUGCAGCACAUUGUGCUAUGAGUCCUUAGCACUGGAUCUUCUUCUCAUCUGACAUAUUCUCUUCCACUUGCAGUGAUAGAUCUGUGGGAGAAAGUCGGCGAGGCGAAACUCGGAGUAGUGACAAGGGAAAUGGCCACCGAGCUCGUCACGGCCGUGGUGACAACUGAUUUCAAGCUGGAAGAAACAAGGAAAAAAGCGAGAAUGAUUUAAAAUUCAAGGACUGUCAGCCUGACGACGUAAACUCUUCCAGACACUUUUAUUGAUACCAACAUCUCGACCAUCAUGAUCCGGAACGCUUAAGUAUUUCUCGUACGGGUACUCUGGCAAGACGGUUUUUGGCUUCUACAUGUUUUACAAGCUGCGGAUGGAUCCGGUGUUUUCGAGUUGGGCUAUUAUAUGGGAGCAGGGUUCCACGCAUGGCCCAGGUUCAAGUUAUUACUUCAGGGCAAAUGAGCUACUGCUGGGAAAGAUCGGGGACUGCGACCAUUGAAUUACGGAACAUACUGUUUUUCUGGUAAACGGUCUGAAAGCAUCACCACGAAUGAUUCAGAAUAAUACGCCUUCACGUCCGAAAACUAUUCGACUAAGCCUAUGUGGCAGUUCCUGAAAGAUACGGACCUGGACGCAUUCUACAUGCCCCUGAGGGACUUGUGUGAAUUGUUGCUCGCUGCGCCACUGGCCGGGCACGGGGAUUGCAGCGAAGCAGAAGAUAGGGAGCGUUACCACAAGUUUGGGGGUUCGGUGCGCUCUGUCUUGGUCCACCACAGGAAAACGAACUACAACAGCAGGUUUGAUCGAGCCUUACAGACUGCGAAAAAGAAAGCGCAGAUCGAGUACAUGAUUGGGAACGUAUUGCAGGGGAAUGACGUAAGUAGUUUCAUUCUCCAUUUGAAGAUGGUCAGUAGAGAUUUGAAGGAAACCAUGGGUGUUUGCAUCUCAGUACGUGGAGGAGCAACUUUCGUGGCUGGAAGAUAGAGUAUAUCAGACAGAAUCAGGGCAUCAGCGACGAAACGGUUCUCGUGGGCAAGAGGUUUGAGCAUCAGCUACGAUGUUCGAAACCGCGUCUCCAAGCACGACGCUUGCACCGGCCAAUUUCGACCGAAACAUGUGAGAUGCUUCAACGUCUUUUGAGACGCAUGAAUCUGCCUGAAAGCGGGAGAAAAACUGCGCUUAUCCAGAGGCUGAGAGAUGCUAAUUUCAAGGGAGUCUAUGACAUGGAAGAAGGGCCAGUGAUCGAGGACGAACAGGAGAAGAUGGAAGACGACGCCGAAGGAGAGGUGGAGCCAGAGGACCAGGUCGAAGUGGAAGUGGCUGGGGAGGAACAGGAAGCAGUCCAGUUUAAUUGCCAGGGGCCUAAAAAAAGUCUAGGGGUGAUGGGGCCCAUGCGCAGGUUACUGUCAACGAUCGCCACCACGCCCAAGCCAAGUAUAUCGAUGAGCUUAUCAACAGGUACAACCUUAAGCGGUUCUACUUUGUUGUACCAUAGAAAAUGUUCAACUGGUACCCGUACCAGCUUUGAAGGAGGUUUGGGUCCUUAAGCUUUAUUUCGUUAAAGUGGGAAUUGUCAUUAUCCCACUUGUAAAAUAAGGUUUCCAAACCUUUAUAUAGUAUAUAAAUAUAACAAAAUUCAACUGCAUUGAGGCACAUGCCAUUUUAUCUUAAACAAGAAAAUGUCUACUCAAUCACUUCUCCUCCCCCUACCAUUGCUUCACCUCUCUCUUCUCCUUGUCAUCGUCGUCUAAUUUCUUUCCAUCCUUUUAAUAUUGGCUCAGUUGCUCCGAGUCUAGGUGGAGCCCAAGUCCCUAUUCAAUCUUUACUUUCCCCUUAUUAAUAAAACAACUUCGUAGACUUCCAAUAACAUGCUGUAACACGCUGUAACACUUCUAGUAUAAUGCAAAUCCUCUCAAAGAAUUAUCUUUUAAUAUUAAUACAAUGGCAUGGAACCCCAUGCCAUAAUAAGUUACAUUUUUAAAUAAAUACAUAAACCCAGAGCUUCCGUGUUCGUGCCAAUGUCUCGUGCAGACCCAAUUUGUAGCACGUUUCUUGCUUGACAUUCUGCGCGUGAGAGAUGUAUAUGAUAGAUCGGAGGGGCGAGUUGCUUUUUAUCAGGCGGACAACUCUUGUCUUGAAGACUUUCUUCACCUCCUCGCCCACCAUAAUAUCCACAACUAUCUCUUGCAUCGCCAAGCUAGAAUGCUGCCCGGAGACGGCAUAGAACCGGAUGUUCUAAUCGUCCAACACCUUCCUAUUGAUCAAGUCUGGAAACCUCGUCUCGCCCUUCAAUGUUCGGUAGUAGGGGAUCACGUCUGUGAUGUCAGGUGUUACUGGACUUGUCAGCAUCUUCUGCUUCAGUUUCUCCACCCACUCAUCAGAUACUAGCCUAUGGUUGUAUUUGCUUUGGAUGUCGAUGUGGCUCACGUCGAUUGUAUAUACUUUGUUGGAAUAGUAACAAGUACUAUUAUCUGCGACAAUUUUUGCUGCCUCUUCUUGCUCUUUCUGCUCUUUGCGGCUCUUCUUUUUGGUGGGUGUAGUGUUCGAACCCGAGGCAAUGGCAUCACCGAGUAGCUUCUUUUUUGGAGUCGAAGAGUCGGACGUCAGCUUGAGCUUGACCACCCUUUUCUGCUUCGGGGUAGUUUCCAGAUCGACCUCCUUCCCCUUCGCUUCGCGAACUGGAGUCACUCUCAACGGCUCAAUGUUGGAAUAUAGUUUUUGAACAUCGCCGUAGGUGAGGUCCGUGGAUUCCAUGUGAUCUUCAUAGACCCGCAGCGUCUUUGAAAUUGUGGGCCUCCUGGACAACCUCUCCCUAGCUCCCUCUAGGAAUUCCUUAUAGCCGCUGCCCCCCUCCAGGAAGCCACUAGGAUGUGCAAAGUGGAUCUUGAAGGCAGACGCUGUCUCUACCACAAGUGCCAGUCCAUAUUCUUGCAUGGAACUGCAUGGAGUGUCUGUCACUUGGAUGAGGAUCCCCAUGCAUUCUUUUCUCCCACCAUCUGUGUUGUAUAGCCUCAGAUCCUCGCCUUCCAUCCCGAAAGUCCAACUGGUGAGCUCCUCCCCCUUCUCUGCAUCCACAUUGAUAGUGGCUGGAAGAAGAACGCAAUUCCUCGCCUGUUCAGAAAUGCACAACAAUUAGAGCUGACAGAUGAAAAGCUAGCAGCUGGAAAUAACAUGAGGCCACACGCCAUUCACCACUGCAUCAGAUGUCUUGAGGCUGCAUCCUAAGAUGGCGUGAGGCUACACGCCAUUUGUAACCGGACUGCACUCGAGAGCCCAAUCGGUGCAUGCCAAUGUUGCUACUGAAUGGCAUGUGGCCUCAUGCCAUUUUCUACUUGGCCUAAAAGACUUACCAUUUGAAGCCGAAUGGAGGCGUGACAAUCGAGGCCGGACUUGCUGGCGAAUGUGCACUGUGUGUGUAGCGGAUCGUAGUAGCAAGGCUACUCUGCCACUUACAGUUGGAGAGUGGCGCUGAAAUCUCCCGGGACGCCAAGUGGGCUGUGUGUGGGUGGCGGAGUGGGCGGCGGAGUUGGCGGCGAAGUUACAAACUGGGUGUGUCUUGAAGUGGACGCCGAUGCACACGAACGCGAUGCGAGCGCGAGUGUGAUGCAAGCGCGAGUGGAUGCCGAUGCACACGAGAAACCUGUAGAGAAGGUAGAUGAGCGCGAUCGCGAGUGGGAGCGCGAUGCGAGCGCGAGUACGAAGCAAAAUGCAAAACCUAACCUCAUACGCGCGAAAUGUCACGACGGUUGGUAAUCCCGCAACGUCAUCAUUCCUCGGACUUGGGUGCCACCAUUAAUUUCUGGAUCGCCGCGCGCAUGCAUGCACGUGAAAUCCAAAAGAAAUCCGCAACGUCAUCAUUCCUCGGACUGCAUGCACGUGAAAUCCAAAAGAAAGAUCAUGAUUGGGAUAUCAUUUAAUACCCUCGCUAUAUUUAUACCAUGCAUGAUUGGAUAUUCCAAAGCAUCUUGUAUUUCCAAAAAUGCCAGAUGUUCAACUAAAUAAAGAAUGGUAUACAAUAUCCUUCUUUGAUGACCCUGUAAAGAAGCAUCUCGAUCGGACACCACAUGAGACCACACGAGCCUUACAAUGUUUCAGGGGCAUUUGCCAUAGAUCCAACCGUUAUUUUGCUCCAAGAUUCUACAGUUUGGUGUGCAUUGACCUUUCCAUCGACACUGCAAAGGGACAUCACAAUCAGAUGUGGGAUCACAAGAAACCAACUUCACUAACUCUGGUUUCACCAAGAUCUACGUAAGGAGUUAUGAAGUGAAAGGACCCUCUCUAUUGAAAUGUGUUUAUGGUCCUAGGGGCAUUGUGACAUAUCAAAGGAUUUUGCAUCAAGUUCUGUAUUUGCAUGUUUAUCAAGCUACUGAAUUGCUAAACCCUAAACCCUCCCUAAAUAUGUGGCAAAUGCUGCGUGAAGAAAGAUGCCCUUUCUGGGCAAAUGCUGUAAGAGGCAGAUGCCGAGCAGUUACACGGCGAAUAAUCUUGGCGCAGAUCGCUGACAUGGCAUGGCAAAGUUCGAAUCACUGACAUCGCACAGCUGGAUCGAGGCAAGGACAUGAUGUGACAAAGUUCAACGUCCGACAGCAAAGUCUAGAAGCUACUUAGUUUGAAAUUUGUCAGAGGAAUUAUAAGAUCUGUGUAAGGAACCAACUCGCCGAGGUGUCGUAGGCUAAAGGAACCCUAAAAGCAUGACCAAAAUGACAAAGAGUUCAUCGGGUGGGACCAAGUCGAAGAUCGAGUCCAAGACCGACUCUAGGACCGAGUUCGAGAUCGAGUCCGGAAUUGAGUCCGAGACCGACUCGAGGACCGAGUUCGAGUCCGAGUUUGAGACCGAGUUCGAGACGGAGUCCAAGAUCCGAAAUCGGGUCCGAGACCGAGUCCGAGGUCGAGUCCGAGGUCGGGUCCGAGAUCGGGUCCGAGAUCGAGUCCGAGAUCGAGUUCGAAACCGAAUCCGAAGUCGGAUCCGAAAUCGGGUCCGAGAUCGAGCCAGAGACUAAGUCCAAAUACUAAUACGGGUCAAGGGUGAAAGCCCAAAGCGUGCGUCUCCCAGGGGGGGGGGGGGGGCUGCAGGGGGUUCCAAAAGUAUAGUAGGGAUAGUGAGGUCCAGGAACCAGUUUAGAAGGGACUCUCCAGUGGGGCUCCCAAACUGACUUGAGGUUGGGACUGGGACCGAGGGGCCUUGGGUGGGAGUGAGCAUGGACUUGGUUGGUGCCGGAGGGGCCAUCCAAGGAAGUGCUCAAGAGCAGCUCCCACUCCCGAAAGGGAAACCGAUCGCGGUGCUCCCGGCUCAUGUGGAGUGGUGCCCCACUUGAGUACCAUGCGGCUCAUUGGUCCUCGCCCUUCCUAGGGGCUUGGGCCUUCCUUCGGGAUGGAAGUGGGGGGCGAGAGGUACCCAUACCGGGCCGCUAGGCCACGGUGUUUCGCCCCGGCGUCCCGAAGCAAGCGUUGCCCUCAAGACUUGGGAUUUAGAGGUCCCAUGAUCAAGUCUUGUGGUACCAAAGGAUGUUAAGAACCUGGAAGCUUGGUGUGCUUGGCUGCUUAUGCUUGCGGGGAGUGUAGCCGAACCUUAAGUCCAGUCUAACCCGGGGAGGGGGAUUGGGAGUGAUUUGGGAAUCCGUGGAUGGAUGGCUAACACUCCGUUGCUCGUGCAGUGAGUAGCUGAGACCAAGUAGGAGCUGGUACCAUAGGCGAGAACCUUGGCAAGGGAACUUAGCAAAAGCCAAGGCAGUGUCGGACGGAUAGACGAGGUAAGUUGGCAAAUUGGAAAGGAAAAAUUUGUGGCUUACAAUUUGGUAUCAGAGCCUUUAUCUCAGUUCUAGCGAAGGAUAGAGGCGGAUUGCUGGGAGAUGGCAAGGGCAGGGCGUAAGCGAACCCAGGUAGAGACGGAACCACCGUCGGAGCUGGAGCCUCCGGUCGAACAAGAGGCUAUGGAUGAGGAAUCCUUGCAUGAGGAGGACUCUAGUGAGGAAAGUUCCAAACAGGAGUCCGGUGGCGAGGUUCGGUCGUCCAAGGCUUGAUUGGACGUGCUAGAAGGACAGUUGGCACAGACCAAUGCCCUGCUGGAAACUCUCGUACGCAAGCUAAAGCGUGACGAGAGGCGGAAGAAAAAGAAAAAGACUGCGGAUGCUGGCAGCGCAGAAGGUGCGGAUCUUUCGGCCGGGACUGAGGCAAAACCAGACAAGGUCGAACAGACUGAAGUAGAAUCAGUCCCUCAGGCAGUUCCCGAGUACAAACCAAAGCCCCCACCGGUCUUCAAGGGAGUGAACGACUAUAAAGUGGUGGAGGAUUGGUUUUACGAUAUGGAAGACUACUUCCGAGCAUUGCGAUUACCGAGCUCGGAGAAGGUCCCAUGUGCAAAACCAUACUUGGCAGAUAAUGCCAAGUCUUGGUGGAGAACGACAGAGGCCAACGAAGGACCAGUGGCCACUUGGGACAUGAUGAAGGCGAGGAUCCGCGCAACAUACGUUCCUCCGAAUGCCACUCUACAUCUGAGAGAUGAGCUGAGUAGGCUGAAGCAGACUGGAACCAUCCAGGAAUAUGUGAAUGGGUUCAUGGCAAAGAGGAUACUUGUCACGGACAUGGGGGAUAUGGAUGCGUUCCAUGCCUUCAUAUCAAGUUUGCAAACCUAGGCUCGCGGUGAGGUGAUGCGGUGGAACCCGACCAACUACAAGGAAGCGUUGGAUGCGGCCAUCAAGGUGCAUUUCAACGAUAACCUGCGAAAGGGGAACACGACGGGGUCGGGAUCCACAUUUAGCAAAGGGGCCAAACCAAGGGGAAUGUAUAGCAAGGGGAAAUUCAAAAAGAGUUUAUCUAAGAAUGAGUCCUUGGGGUUCCGGAAAGGCAAAUCCGGUGGCCAGCGAGCGAGUACGUGGGGGAGUCAAGCGAAAAAGGACAAACCCACAGAUAAGAAGGUCAAGUCGUAUAGCAGCGUGGGAAACAACGUAUGCUACAACUGCGGCGAAGCGGGACACUUCUCGAGGGAAUGUCCCUACCCGAAGAAGGCCAGAGCCAAUAUGGCCAUCAAGUCGGGUGAAGUCCAAACUGAGGUAUGUGAUCCAGUCCUUAACUCAAAGUUACUCAUUACACGAGCAACUUUGGUAGAGAGUCGUUCGCGACAUCUACUAGCCCUCCGAGGGAAGCUUAGAGGUAGCUUUGUUAAGAUCCUUAUUGACACGGGUGCUUCGGAUAAUUUUGUGGCUGCAGACAUAGUCCGACAAGCCGGACUAACGGUGCAGCGGCUAGGCGAACCAAGGACUAUAGAGUUUGUUCAGGGUAGCCAAAGCACCGAUGAGGUACUUCGACAAGCGAGAGUUGAAGUGGGGACAUGGAAAGUGGACAUGAAUUUCACCGUCUUGGACAUGGCGGGAUUUGACGUGAUCUUCGGAAUGGAUUGGUUUAAUCGGUUCGUGGUAGCCCUGCAUGGACAAGGUAGGAACCUUGUGGUAUUGGCGAAUGCCCAAGGAAGAAGAUCUAGGGUGGAGGCCCAGGAUCUAAAGGUAGGGCAAAGCAAGGCCAAAGAGUCAUGCUUAAACUUGGUGUCCACGAGAGGACAACUCACUAAAGGAACUAAGGCAGCCUUUUUGUGCUUACUCUCGGUGAAGAGUGACAAAAAGACAAGAACGGAAGAAGUACCUUUAGUGAUCCAGUAGGUGCUGGACCAAUUCCAGGAUACCAUGCCGGAGGAGCUACCGGCGGGGUUGCCCCCCGCACGACCGAUAAAACAUAAGAUUGAGCUGGUCGAGGGUGCUGAGGCGGUGGUUCAUCCACCCUAUCGAUUGAACGAAAAAGAACUCAAGGAGCUCAAGAGCCAACUAGAGGAGUUGGUGGACAAAGGGUAUGUUAGGUUGAGCAAGUCGCCGUAUGGGGCGCCGGUGCUAUUUGUGAAAAAGAAAGAUGGAUCUAUGCGCAUGUGCAUAGACUACCGGUUGCUCAACAAGUAUACCAAGAAGAACAAGUACCCUUUGCCAAGGAUCGAGGACCUGUUCGAUAGGUUGGGAAAGGCAAAAUACUUCUCGAGGAUUGACCUAAGGUCAGGAUACUACCAGAUCAGGGUAGCUGAGGAAGAUGUCGAGAAGACAACCUGUCGAACGAGGUAUGGGAGCUUUGAGUUUCUGGUGAUGCCCUUUGGGCUGUGCAAUGCACCGGCAACAUUUUCGGCGUUGAUGAACCACAUCUUUGUACCCUAUCUGGAUCACUUCGUGGUCGUCUAUAUCGACGAUAUCCUGAUCUAUAGCGAGACGCUAGAGGAGCAUGCCGAACACUUGGCGAAGGUGUUUGAGAAACUAAGGGAACACAAACUGUAUGCUAAAGAGAGCAAAUGUGACUUUGCUCAACAAGAAGUAAAGUUUCUCGGGCAUGUGGUGGGCCAGGACGGGCUCAAGGUGGACCCGGAGAAGGUCCAAGCGAUCCAGGAAUGGGAGCGGCCUUCGAAUGUACAUGAGUUGAGGGCGUUCUUGGGGCUAUGCAACUACUAUCGAAAGUUUAUCAGACACUAUUCGAGAGUAGCCCUACCCUUAACGGACCAAACAGGAAAAGGGAAGAUGGUAUGGACAGCGGAAUGCGAGGCGGCAUUCGUCCACCUCAAAGGGAAGUUGAGGAAGGCUCCGGUGUUGGCAUUACCAGAUUUUGGUAAGGACUUUGAGGUAGACACAGAUGCUUCGGACUUUGCGUUGGGUGCAGUUUUGAAGCAAGACAACCAUCCAGUAGCGUUCUUCUCGAAGAAGUUGGACAAGGCUCAAAGGAAGUGGCCUGCCCACGAGAAGGAAUUGUUUGCGGUGGUUAAGGCGCUCAAGGAGUGGCGACACUACCUUGGGAGACACUUCAAGGUUUACACGGACAAUGUGGCAACGAAACACUUCUUGUCACAGCCCGACCUGAGAGGGAAACAAGGUCGGUGGGCCAAUGCCUUGGCCGAGUUUGAUUGCGAGAUUUUGUACAAGCCUGGGAAGAGCAACAUCGUGGCAGAUGUGCUAAGUCGAAAAGCGAGCUUGAGGUUGGCGAUAUCCAGCGCAACAGCAACCUUCUGGGACGAUGUGCGGACAGCAUAUGAGAACGAUGGUCUAGCACAAGAAGUGUUGUUGAGGAAUCUGGAGGCGCGGGAAGCUCACUAGAGAGGUGAGCUGCCAACGGAAGAGAAAACGGGCUAUGCGGAACGCAACGGACUCAUUUAUUACAAGCAAACGAGGGUAUAUGUUCUAGAAGGGGGACUAAAGAAGGUAGCCUUAGAAGAGUGUCAUGACGGACCUUUUGCGAGACACGGCGGAGUGCCCAAGACGAUGGGCUUACUCAAGAGGAAGUACCAUUGGCCAGAUAUGGCUAAGGACGUCCAAGACUAUGUAAAGACAUGUCCAACAUGUCAGCAGGUCAAAGCCGUGACUAAGGCUAGUGGGGGCUUGUUGCAAAGCAUCCCAAUUCCAGAUCGUCUGUGGAAAUGUCUUACGAUGGACUUCAUCACGGGACUACCCCCAAGCGAGGGGUUCGAUGCGAUAUUCGUGGUGGUGGAUUGAUUUUCGAAGAUGGCACAUUUUAUACCCACCACAACGGAAGUGGAUGCGGAAGGUGUGGCGAAGCUGUUCUUCGAACAAGUGGUUCGAGUGCAGGGAAGGCCAGAAGAGAUUAUCUCAGAUCGAGAUAAGAUCUUCACUAGUAGGUUCUGGAGGACCCUCCUGGAACAGUAUUGCACCAAGUUGAAAUUCAGCACAGCCUAUCACCCACAGACAGGUAUGGGGUAUUAAGUCAAGUUUGGUGGUCCUAACACUUCUUGACAGACGGACAAACGGAAAGGGUGAAUAGGCAGCUGGAGGAUUAUUUGCGAUGCUAUGUCUCGGGAGACCAGACCGAUUGGGCAAGUCAUUUGGGACUUGCGGAAAUGUGUUAUAACAACUCACCACAUUCGAGUAUCGGGGUGAGUCCAUGGGAAGUCAUCAAUGGGCGAGCUAUUGAAGGUCCUGUGGAACUCGGCGUGGCCGAGUAUCAUGGAGAGCUACCCGCAGUGGAGGCAUUCACGGCGGAAAGACUCAACAUUUGGAAUCUAGUGAGGGAUUCCUUGGAACGGGCUCAACAAAGGCAAACCAAGUAUGCGAACCUAAAGCGCCGGGAUGUAGAGUUCCAAGCUGGGGAGAAGGUGUGGCUGAACACCAAGAACCUCAGGCUACCAAGUGGGAUCAGCCGAAAGUUGACCCAAAGGUAAAAAUGCAUGUAUUCCUGUAAAUGAAUUGAUCUUGAGUUCCUAAAGCAGGUUCGCGGGGCCUUAUGAGAUUGAGGCACGAAUCGGUAAAGUGGCUUACCGACUCCGACUUCCUCGAGAGAUGGGGAAGAUGCACCCAGUGUUCCACGUGAACUUACUCAAGCCGUACUUUGAGGAUCCGCUUCGCAAGGACCAAGUAAGACCUUUACCCGAGGUUAUCCAAGGGGAAGAGGAAUACGAAGUCGAGGCCAUCCUCAAUGCGCGCAAGAGCAAGCGACAAGGACGCGAGGUGAGAGAGUUCCAUGUGAAGUGGAAAGGAUUUCCACACUGCGAAGCAACAUGGGAACCGGAGGAGAACCUAGCGAACGCGCGAGAUCUAGUGGAGGAAUUUCUGCAAGGCAAAACUCUAUGUACUUAUGCAAAGUUCAAUUAAAAAUAUCAAUUUGCAAAGUUGAGCAAGUGGCAUAUGUUGGGACCCGAAGGCGCGCCGAAGGUGAGCUAAUUAGCAUGGGUUAGCUAGGUCGACCAGGCGUAGGGAGCUACGCCCGACUCCCUGCGGGGAUGUCGAAUCCGUAGACGUAUUCUACGGAGGUUGGGUUCGAGUCCCAACCCCCUAGUAAAGCAAGGCUAGGUUCAAGUCCCAACCCCAUACUAGGGCGUGGUGAGGGGAGGAGUAUAGGGACACCUAUAUUCCGUUGUCAUGGGCUCUUGGCCAGGGAGGCUAACUUAGGCACACCGCUAAGUGGGGGGAUGCCCCCGGAGACAUGGUCAACAAGUCGUAGGAUAAAACGAGACAUUCGAUGUGGGUAUCGAACUUCUUGUGGUGGAGUUGUAAGGAACCAACUCGCCGAGGUGUCGUAGGCUAAAGGAACCCCGAAAGCAUGACCAAAAUGACAAAGAAUUCAUCGGGUGGGACCAAGUCGAAGAUCGAGUCCAAGACUGACUCUAGGACCGAGUUCGAGAUCGAGUCCGGAAUUGAGUCCGAGACCGACUCGAGGACCGAGUUCGAGACGGAGUCCAAGAUCCGAAAUCGGGUCCGAGACCGAGUCCGAGGUCGAGUCCGAGGUCGGGUCCGAGAUCGAGUCCGAGAUCGAGUCCGAGAUCGAGUCCGAAACCGAAUCCGAAGUCGGAUCCGAAAUCGGGUUCGAGAUCGAGCCAGAGACUAAGUCCAAAUACUAAUACGGGUCAAGGGGUGAAAGCCCAAAGCGUGCGUCUCCCAGGGGGGGGGGGCUGCAGGGGGUUCCAAAAGUAUAGUAGGGAUAGUGAGGUCCAGGAACUAAUUUAGAAGGGACUCUCCAGUGGGGCUCCCAAACUGACUUGAGGUUGGGACUGGGACCGAGGGGCCUUGGGUGGGAGUGAGCAUGGACUUGGUUGGUGCUGGAGGGGCCAUCCAAGGAAGUGCUCAAGAGCAGCUCCCACUCCCGAAAGGGAAACCAAUCGCGGUGCUCCCGGCUCAUGUGGAGUGGUGCCCCACUUGAGUACCAUGCGGCUCAUUGGUCCUCGCCCUUCCUAGGGGCUUGGGCCUUCCUUCGGGAUGGAAGUGGGGGGUGAGAGGUACCCAUACCGGGCCGCUAGGCCACGGUGUUUCGCCCUGGCAUCCCGAAGCAAGUGUUGCCCUCAAGACUUGGGAUUUAGAGGGUCCCAUGAUCAAGUCUUGUGGUACCAAAGGAUGUUAAGAACCUGGAAGCUUGGUGUGCUUGGCUGCUUGUGCUUGCGGGGAGUGUAGCUGAACCUUAAGUCCAGUCUAACCCGGGGAGGGGGAUUGGGAGUGAUUUGGGAAUCCGUGGAUGGAUGGCUAACACUCCGUUGCUCGUGCAGUGAGUAGCUGAGACCAAGUAGGAGCUGGUACCAUAGGCGAGAACCUUGGCAAGGGAACUUAGCAAAAGCCAAGGCAAUGUCGGACGGAUAGACGAGGUAAGUUGGCAAAUUGGAAAGGAAAAAUUUGUGGCUUACAAUCUGGUUUGUCAGAGGAUUUGAUGUGCCGUUCAAGCGUGUGGGCUCAUGCAAUUUUGAUCCCAAAAAAUGCACCAAAAAAUGCUCGGCGUCAUCUGGCGUUAUCUCUUGAAUGGCAUGGGGCCGCAUGCCAUUUUAAGGGGCACAUAGGAGUAUAUUCUUAGAAUAUUCUGACACGCGCGAGAUUUUUUUGAGUUUUCUGGAGAUCCAACCGUUAGAUCGCAACUAGAUUUUACAGAAUGGUAUACAAUGUCUUUCUUGAUGACCCUGCAAAGAAGCAUCUCGAUCGGACACCACAUGAGACCACACGAGCCUUACAAUGUUUCAGGGGCAUUUGCCAUAGAUCCAACCAUUAUUUUGCUCCAAGAUUCUACAGUUUGGUGUGCAUUGACCUUUCCAUCGACACUGCAAAGGGACAUCACAAUCAGAUGCGGGAUCACAAGAAACCAACUUCACUAACUCUGGUUUCACCAAGAUCUACGUAAGGAGUUAUGAAAUGAAGGACCCUCUCUAUUGAAAUGUGUUUAUGGUCCUAGGGGCAUUGUGACAUAUCAAAGGAUUUUGCAUCAAAUUCUGUAUUUGCAUGUUUAUCAAGUUACUGAAUUGCUAAACCCUAAACCCUAAACAUGUGGCAAAUGCUGCGUGAAGAAAGAUGCCCUUUCUGGGCAAAUGCUGUAAGAGGCAGAUGCCGAGCAGAUGUAUCUCAGGCUAGCGAAGGGGACAAACGAAAGCUAGCUAUAAACAUGACGGGAUGCAAAUAGAUUACUAGGCUGGUCCUACGAAAAUCAAAAACCAUAAUUAAAAACAUUGAAAAUGCAAAAAGAAAGGUUUAUAAUAUUUUUGAAUUUUAAGCAACCAAAGGAAUGUAAGUAGGGCAUGUGUUUGUAAGUUUAAAAAUGCCUCAACCACUUAAAUUCCCAAGUAAAUAAAGCUAUUUCUAUUUUUGGUACAGGUAAACUUUAUAGCGUGUGGGCUCAUGCAAUUUUGAACCCAAAAAUGCACCAAAAAAUGCUCGACUAGCAUUAUUCUUUGAAUGGCGUGUGGCCUUAUAUUGCCAUAAAUGGACGUACACACACAGCAUAAUUAUUCCUUUACACGGCGAAUAAUCUUGGUGCGGAUCGCUGACAUGGCAUGGCAAAGUUCAAAUCACUGACAUGGCACAGCUGGAUCGAGGCAAGGACAUGAUGUGACAAAGUUCAACGUCCGACAGCAAAGUCUAGAAGCUACUCAGUUUGAAAUUUGUCAGAAGAAUCAUAAAAUCUGGUUUGUCAGAGGAUUUGAUGUGACGUUUAAGUGUGUAUUAUUUUUGAAUUCUCGAACUCAUUCCUAGGUUUAUCAUUUUUGUGCGCCGUGUUCUUGGUUCCGCUGAGCGCAGUGAGCGCUGCUUGUGUAAGCGGCGUUGUGAGCUGUGGUUUAUGCGUCUACGAGCGGUUGCGGCAUUGUGAGCGCCAUUGCGAGCGGCAGUUUAUGCAAGUGGCAGUUUGUGCGAGCGGCGCUACGGUACCACUAAUGGUAUGAGGGCUCAUGCCAUCUUGGGGCUUGCAAGUUCAUCACUAGCAUAUUGCUAAUAGUUUCUUUACCUGCCUGUAGCUGUGUGUUUAUCAAGAUGGCAUGAGGCCUCAUGCCAAUUUUGUGAAUGCAAAAUUUUACGUGGGUGUCAAUAGCAUGUUUGAAUAAUGGCAUGUGGCCUCAUGCUAUUGAGGUUGUUUGGUAUGUUAUGAUUUAGGCCAUUCUCCAAUCAUUUUUUGUAUGGUCUUAACUUUUUUUCUGCACUUUCAGAAUGGCCUCCGCAAGUGCGACGCAUGUUCCCUCCAUGGAUCUUAAGAACCGUGCUACAUGGAUUCAGGCAAAGGUGUUUCUAAACAACCCCGAGGGGGAGGUGGUAGCUGAGGGCUUAGCCACAGUUGUCGAUCCAAGAGAUGCGGUUGCUAAUCAAGAAUUGGGUUGGGAUGAUAUUGGAAUUGCGAUUUUAGAGGUUGUUGACACAGAAGAAAACAGUCUGACUAUUAGAAACAUUGUGCGGUGGAAAUUGAGGCACUUAGUGUUUGAGAAUGUGAAGGAUUCACAAUCAAACACCACUACAACUGAUGACAGAACAUCUCUUCAUGGGAAAAGAAAGUACACCUUCCUAAAGCACAGCCAAAGGGAUCUGAGCAACGAACGGAAAAGGCAGAAAAUGGCGAUGGAGGUUCGAAUGGUCUCGACAGUUGCUUGUUGCAAGAGGAGGUGCUGUCAAUAUGCUGAUUGGGAUGCUAUUGAAGAGGAGAGAGCAAGAUACAAGACAUUGUCUUGGAAGGCAGCUCGCAAUUUUGUGUAUGAGGCAUUACGGUCAUCUGUUGAUGCUUUAGAACAUCAGGUGGGGGGCAUGGUCUUCCAGAGGGGUUUGGUCUGCAUGAAGGCAUGGAGAAUCAUUUAUGGAGUCCCUCGAACCACAUUCAAGGUACUAGAGAAAUUCCUUAAUAAUAUGAAUGUUAUUUAGUUUCAUGAAAAUACACUAAGGGGCAAAUGAGUUAAAUGACUUCUCCAGACUAGCAAUGCCUCUUGCUACACCUUCACAAUUAGAUUCGUUAGAAAAAGAUAACAUUGAAUAAUAUCUAAAUGUUCUCACCAUUAAGUUAUAUGUCUGGCUAAUAGGAAUGACGUUUAUCUUGGAAAGCUCACCACACACUCAAUGAACAAACAAAUAGUGUGUGCGCGCAUGCCAUUGCUCUUCUUUAGCUUCAGAUUCGGCUUGUUCACCUUGACAAUGAGAUUUAUUAUACAACCAGAUGGACUCAGUCUGGACACAAAGUCACCGCGCUAGUCACCAUGCCCCAGAUAUGUCUAGCCCCUGGACAAAAAACAUAUAAUUUCACGUCAUUUUCAAAUACUUGAAAAUUUGUACCUAGUCCCAUUUUACUGAAUAAAUCCCACUUUAACGAAAUAGAGCUUCCUUGGAGUGUGGCUAGAGCUUUUUAGGCUGAAUGAAUUGUUGUUAGAACAAUUCUUGUCCAAGAUUUUAAAUAUUUACUAUAUAACACAAUAGAAUUUGUUGCAGAAAGAGUAAACUUGUCACUUUCUUAAAAUCCAUAUUAUUUAUUUUAUAAUGAAAGUUAUGAUCAUUUAAUUAAUUUUUAUUAUAUUUUUUUUAUAAAAUAUUUUGUUUUAUUCCUAAAUCACAUGUUUUAUGGGCAGAAAUAACACUUUAAAUGAAAUAAAAAUAAAAAUAUCACACUACAUAUCAAAGUGAUAAAUUUUAAAUAAUCCUAUAUAAUAAAUAAGAAAAACAUGAAUUUACCAACAUAACUAUGAAAAUACUAAAUCUUUUGAUAAUUCAAGAGGUAAUAUUCUUACACAAAUUAAAAAUGUACCAGAUACUCAAUAUUGUACAACAAAAGCUAAAAAUAAUGUAAUUAGGCUCUCAAUUUUUCAAGGGUUAUUUAAAACAAUAAAAAUGUAUUAAUUAAUAAGUACUAAAUAACAUAAGUGAGUAUCUAAUUUUAGAUUAUUAUUUAUAGCUUUAAAAUUAAAUAAAUUUUAUAAACGUUUACUAAACUUAAUAACCUUAAAUCUCUUUGAAAAUUCUCUUAAAAAUAUACUUUAUACAGAAGAAUUUUUAAUAUCUUCAAAUGAAAAAAAAAACAUAUUAGUAGUAUCAAAUUAUAAAGUUUCAUUUUAUUCCGAAACAAAUAUUUUAUGAAGAUUAGAUAACAAACAAAUUUAUCAUGGUCUAUUUUCUUAACAACUUCAAAAUGAUAGUAAUAUUGUAUUAUAUACAAAAAAAAAGA